UACGUAGGGUGCAAGCGUUGUUCGGAUUUACUGGGCGUAAAGGGCGCGUAGGCGGUCAGCACAAGUCAGUUGUGAAAUCUCCGGGCUUAACCCGGAAACUGCCAUUGAUACUAUUUGUCUUGAAUACUGUGGAGGUCAGCGGAAUAUGUCAUGUAGCGGUGAAAUGCUUAGAUAUGACAUAGAACACCAAUUGCGAAGGCAGCUGGCUCGACAAAUAUUGACACUGAGGCACGAAAGCGUGGGGAUCAAACAGG
rnacentral:rRNA from 1 species